CACAGAGAUGUAAAGUGACUUGCCUGAAGUCACACAGCAGACGAGUGGCAGAGCUGGGAUUCGAACCCAUGUCAAUGAUUAAACCUAGCAGGGGAAAGCUGCAGGAGGCUAACGAGAUGACUGGAACUCAAGAUUUGCCAAUUAGCCUGUAUGCUAUCGCGGAAGGACCGAUUUGAAUAAACAGAGCCUUAGAAGAACGCCUUCAUGACCAAUUCCAGGAAGGAUAGCAACACGCUUCCUGAAGGCAUUCAGGGGACAAUGCAUCCUCUUGCCCUUCUGCAGAAUUUUCCACUAGAACCGUUUGCUCAAUGCACCUCUCCUCUCCCAGAGACCCAGUUGGGGAAAUGACAAAGGGAAUGGAGCAUCAGUGACCGCAUUUUCCGGGUGCACAGAAGGAGAAAAGUUCUUGAACACGGACGUGAGUCAGUCCAUCAGUGGCACUGUGCAACCAUUCCACGCAGAAAACUAAAUCUGAAACGAGUGAUUGUCUUGGAACAGAGGAUUAAGGAUGAUCUUCGAGACUAAGAGAGUGAAGUGAAAUGGCAACAGGUACUUUGGGUAUUAAAUAUAACAGUGCAGCAAUAGAUAGGAAUGCAGCCUGGCCUAGCAGGAAAAUCCUGGGGCUGCGA